AGGUCUAACCUGCCCAAUGAGGAAUUAAAUGGCCGCAGUAUUUUGACUGUGCAAAGGUAGCAUAAUUAUUAGUUUUUUAAUUGAAAGCUUGUAUGAAGGGUUGGACGAGGUAAAAUCUGUCUUUAUUUAAAUUAUAAUAGAAUUUAACUUUUAAGUCAAAAGGCUUAAAUGUAUGUAAAAGACGAGAAGACCCUAUAGAUCUUUAUUUAAUUAAUAUUUUGAUAAUUUAGGAUUAUUUUAGUUUAAAGUUUUAGUUAAAUUUUAUUGGGGUAAUAUAAAGAUUAAAUAAAUUCUUUUUAUUUAUUACAUUGAUUUAUGAAUAUAUGAUCCAAUAUUAUUGAUUAUAAGAUUAAGUUACCUUAGGGAUAACAGCGUAAUUUUUUUGGAGAGCUCAUAUCGAUAAAAAAGUUUGCGACCUCGAUGUUGGAUUAAAAAUUAGCUUGGGUGCAGAAGCUCAAGAUUUUGGUCUGUUCGACCAUUAAAUUUUUACAUGAUCUGAGUUCAGACCGGCGUAAGCCAGGUCGGUUUCUAUCUUUAUUUAUCUAAAAUAUUUUAGUACGAAAGGACCAAAUAUUUAAUAUAAUUAUAUUUAUUUUUUGAAUAAUAUU
rnacentral:rRNA from 1 species